rnacentral:lncRNA from 1 species
CAAAUCCGAUCCAAAAAUAAAUCUCAUUAACGUCUAGCCCAUCCUCUCCCCAAUCUAAACACCAAUACUUCAACAUAGCUCGUCUUUGAUAAUGGAUCCUUUCGAUGUUGCAGAGGUGUCGAUUGGGAUACAUCUUGUUCUACUCAUAGCGAUUUUGUGUUUCAUGGUCAUCUCUUGUUUUAUGAGUAAACCAAUGUGUGUAGAGGAGCCAAGGCGUCCAGAAGAUCUUCCAGUUGUACCCAUCCGUCGGAGCCCACUUGGGACUCACCGUAGCCAACCCUGAUUAAUGUUAGUAAUAAAUGUAUGAGGUGAUGUUAUGACUUCUUUUUAUGGGUACUUAAUGAAAUUUGACUUUUUAUAAAUGGAAGACAUAUUUUGAAAAUUUCGUAUUUUGAAUAAUUGGAAAAUGGGUGUUUGGAUGGAAACUCGAUAAUUAUUGGAAUCAGUGCAUGAACCGAUUUUUACUUACCCUGCUUGGUUGCCGACAUAUGGCUCUUAAAAGUGAGGCCAUUUCCCCCUACUUUUUCUGCUUUCCCACAACCCUUCCCUUUUUCUUCUGCCGUAAAAGUUGUUUCCCCUUCCUCCACCUCAGUUCAGAUCUGCAUUUCGGUCUCCCCCAAGCUAUGAUAUCGACAUAGUACACAUAAGGACUUAUCGGGCUGCAGAUUGCUAUAGUCACUCUCAUCAUAUUUCAUUCAAUCAUUUCGUGUUUUGUGAGGCAAGUCCUCCGUCAUGAUGAGAUUCGGCAUCAAGAGAUCCUCGAAGAAGUCGAACCUAAGUGCGGCAAGAAAAAGUACUUUGGAGUUUUAGCUUUCAUUUUUCAGAUGGUGGAUGAUUUUCAUCUCUUACUUAUGCUCGUUGUCGAAAUCUCCUUCAUAACCAUGUUUCGUUUUCAUGUUUAUUUUCUUUUGGUUAAUUGGAGUUUCUACCGUGUUGUGUUUUGAUUUUGAGGACAAAAUCUUUUUAAGGAGGGGAGAGUUGUAACAUCCCGAUCAUGUUAACCUAAAUCUUCCUCUAAUUUAUUUCAUUAGAUAAGUGUUGAUGAUACUGCUUGAUAAUAUAAGAUUUAAUGGUAAAACUCACGAGAUUAAGGAAUAUCGUUUUAAUCGUCAAAGAAUAAAUCUUACCGAUUAAUUAGUAUAAAAUCCUACCUAGCCUAAUGGUUAUGAAGAUUCCUAUGUAAAUUGAACCAUGAAAUCAGAUGUGGUGAGAUGGUUAAUGUGUUUGUCCAACUCUUAGUUAAUCUGUGUUCUAGUCCCACCAAUAGAAAUAAAAUUAU